UACGUAGGGUGCGAGCGUUGUCCGGAAUUAUUGGGCGUAAAGAGCUCGUAGGCGGCUUGUCGCGUCGGCUGUGAAAACCUGGGGCUCAACCCCGGGCCUGCAGCCGAUACGGGCAAGCUAGAAUUCGGUAGGGGAGACUGGAAUUCCCGGUGUAGCAGUGAAAUGCGUAGAGAUCGGGAGGAACAUCAGUUGCGAAGGCGGCUCUCUGGACCAGCACUGACACUGAGGCACGAAAGCGUGGGGAGCAAACAGG
rnacentral:rRNA from 1 species